UUAAAUUGUCAUAAUAUAUGUAAUUUUCAUUACGAAAAUGCCAUUCUUAUACCUAUUGUGAUAGAUGUUUCAAAAUGUGUCAUAAUAAAUCUUAGUUUUAUUACAGAAUUGCCACUGGUCCAUGUAUUAUGAUAGGUGGAUUUCACCUAUCAUAAUAGCCUGUCAUGGAAUUCCCUUUUUCCAGUAGUGAAAGUCCAGUAGUGAAAGUGCAAGUGACACUUUGAGCCCCUUGACACACUUUCACACUAAGAAGGGGAAACUAAGCUAUUACAAUGUUUGAUUGUGUACUUGAAAUUGCUUAAAAGCAUUUUUCCAAGCCACUUGAAGUUGCAAAUGGAAGAAAAGAAAGAAAAAAAAAACAAUUAAACCUCAAAGGUUCCGUCAUAGAAUACUGGAAAUGACUUGAAACUAUGCUUAAAAUUGUACAAAAGAGUAAGCUUUAAAAUCUGCAAUGUGGCUGGUCCAAAACUGUUUGAUAAGUUUGGUGCAAGGUUGAUGAAGUGCUGCUGAAUGCUGAAGCAAAAAAUGCAACUUUGAGUUCCACUUUUGAAGCUAGUUCAACACUUUCUCCACUUCCUAAUGCAGAUACCUCAAGAAUACGUCACAGCACCACUGCCAUACACAAAACCAGUGAAGAAAACAACAGCUGCUGCACCAGAAUUCAAAUUUCGCAGAACAGAUUUUGGAGCACAAUUUAGAAGCCAAACAAGUUGAAUUCAAGUGAUUUUAAGCUUUAAAUAAUAGGAGGGACACAAAAGGAACCUAGGAACAGAUUAAACAAGCAAGAAAAUUCAAAAACAAAGACCAAAAUCAUGUGUAGUGAAACUGUUUGAUAAUAACACAAACUGUUUGAUGAAAGUCCCCAAUGAGUUGCAGAUUUAGUGAUUUUCGGGUUUUGAGGUUCAAAACUGGAUUGCAUGCUUUUCAAUUGCUUUUUAUGAUUGGAUUAUACUUUUUUGAUCAUAUAAUUCCAUUUGGAAACAUGAAACUAGCUCUUGCCAACCCAAAAUUGAAAAUUAAAGAAUGCACAAAACCAAACAGCACUAAAAUGGCAAACUGCACCAGAAAAUGGCAUUUANUGAAACUAGCUCUUGCCAACCCAAAAUUGAAAAUUAAAGAAUGCACAAAACCAAACAGCACUAAAAUGGCAAACUGCACCAGAAAAUGGCAUUUAAAAUGGUGCUUUCAAACUGAAAAUUGAGUGGCAGUGUUUCAAAAGCUCAAAUGAUGGUUCAAGCAACUUUAUAUCAUCAAAUUGAAAGUGUUUAAGCACUAAGACAGCCAAGGAACACAAUGCAGCAGAAAAUCACAAGAUCACUUCCAAAUUUAGGCAAAAUUUGGUGGUUUAAUGGGUGAUUCUGCAUAAAAACGUUUAGAAACAUAAUUUGAUAUUUGGAGCAACUUUUUAUCAUCAAUUUGAAGGUGUUUAGACACUAAGACAGCAAAGAAUCACACUGAACUCGCAAAUCACUAGUUCACUUCCAAAAUAAGGCAAAAUUGAUGGUUUAGGAAGUGAUUUUGCAUAUGAGCUCAAAUUUGACCAAAUGAACAGUGCAUACAUGUUUGGAAUGGUAAAAUAAACUUGCACAAAUGUGUAAACUGCACUGAAAUGGACAGAUUCAACAAAACACCCCUGCUGUAGCCAAUUAUGCAGCACUUUUUACUCAAAAAUUGCACUAGAAUUCAAACAAACACUGGAAUCAAUCUGGAUAGCACAAAAAAAAUCUUAUGGAAGUCCUAAUUCACUAGAUCUAGCUGCAGAAUAUUAGCUAGGAGAUGUUUAANGACCNAGAACACAUGCAAGGAUAUCAAUCACAGUGAAAAGAUUGAUUAAAAACUCUGACAGCACUUGUUACAGGAUUUUUGAGCAACUCAACUAUGCUUUUUGCAUUCUAGUGACUAAUACAGGUUGCCACUACUUGGAACAUGUUUAUCAUCAUCAAAUAAACUUGUUCAAAGCUUUAGAUGCAAAAAAAUAUGGACAAAACAGAUUGCACGUGAUCAAACCAGAGAAGUCUUUUUAUGCAGAUUUUUGAAACCAAAUUUUGAUGAACUCAAUCANUCAUUUUGCAAUUCUGUGAUUCAUAUGAGUUGCUACACCUUUAGNAAUGCUUUUCAACGUUAAACAAACUUGCACAAAGGUUUAGAAAGCACAAAAUCUGGUCUGAAACAGAUUAUAGCACCUGCACCAGUUUUUGAAAUAUUAUGCAGAAUUUUGGAAAANAGAAUUAUGCUCUAGUGCGCUAGCUUGUCUCACCAAGGCUGGACCGUUGUCUCAUCACCUUAUUUGNUUGAUUCAAAGCUUUGCAAACACUCAGAACUCAUUCAAACACAUUAANCACAGCAGAAAUGAAUGUACUGGAACUGAAACAGAAUUGAAAACUGCAUCAAUGUGCACAUGACUUGACAAAACUGGAAAGUAAAAUUGAAGGCUGAAUUGAACUCAAACAAUGGAUGUUCACCGAUUAAAAUGAUCAACAAACACUUAAAGAAUGAAGGAAGUAAACGAACANCACAAAAAACACGAAUUACAGCAAGAAAAGAAGUGAAAAAAAUUAAAAACAACGUGACAAAAGUUGGACAGCACAUGACAGAAUUGAAAAAAAUGAGUGAAAACGUGACUUAUCUCUUGAAGACAAGAGUGGAUGACCUGGCUCUUGAUGUCAAGUGAUAGAGGCAGCUUCUAUCUUCAAGAAGAAACANCUUCUUUUGUAUUUCUGUUAUUUCAUACUAUAGCAAUACACUGUCUCACUUGGUCCUGAAUCACGCUGAUCAGGCCAAAUUCUAUAAUCCAACAAUUAUUUCCAUUUCCUUUUGUUGAUUUUAUUGCCGGUACUUAUCAUUAUAGUCCUUUUCAUAAUAGAUUAAAUAAUUAAACAAGGAAAAAUCAGUUUACAACAGUUAAAACAAUUAUUUAGUUUCUACAUUAUUGAAAUUAAUAAGUAUUGCAUUGAUAUACAUUAAAAUUAACAUCAAUAUAAUUUAAGNNNN
rnacentral:lncRNA from 1 species